rnacentral:rRNA from 1 species
CUGAGGAAUCAGCAUCGGCUAACUCCGUGCCAGCAGCCGCGGUAAUACGGAGGAUGCAAGCGUUAUCCGGAAUCAUUGGGCGUAAAGCGUUCGUAGGUGGCUGUGCAAGUCUGCCGUUAAAGACAGUGGCUUAACCACUGAAAGGCGGUGGAAACUGCACAGCUAGAGUGCGGUAGGGGUAGAGGGAAUUCCCGGUGUAGCGGUGAAAUGCGUAGAGAUCGGGAAGAACACCAGUGGCGAAAGCGCUCUACUGGGCCUGCACUGACACUGAGGGACGAAAGCUAGGGGAGCGAAUGGGAUUAGAUACCCCAGUAGUCCUAGCCGUAAACGAUGGAUACUAGGUGUUGCUCGUAUCGACCCGAGCAGUGCCGUAGCCAACGCGUUAAGUAUCCCGCCUGGGGAGUACGCACGCAAGUGUGAAACUCAAAGGAAUUGACGGGGGCCCGCACAAGCGGUGGAGUAUGUGGUUUAAUUCGAUGCAACGCGAAGAACCUUACCAGGGCUUGACAUGUCCGGAACCCUCUUGAAAGAGAGGGGUGCCUUCGGGAGCCGGAACACAGGUGGUGCAUGGCUGUCGUCAGCUCGUGUCGUGAGAUGUUGGGUUAAGUCCCGCAACGAGCGCAACCCUCGUUCUUAGUUGCCAGCAUUAAGUUGGGCACUCUAGGGAGACUGCCGGUGACAAACCGGAGGAAGGUGGGGAUGACGUCAAGUCAGCAUGCCCCUUACGUCCUGGGCUACACACGUACUACAAUGCUACGGACAGAGGGCAGCUACCUCGCGAGAGGCGGCAAAUCCCAUAAACCGUGGCUCAGUUCAGAUCGC